ACACGAAGCUAGGGGUGCCCAGAGCGCAUCGACCGCGUGCCGGGCUGAGACAGACCCUUGGAACCUGAACCGGAUAAUCCCGGCGGAGGGAAGCUUCGGAGCGCCGCA
rnacentral:ncRNA from 2 species